rnacentral:lncRNA from 1 species
AUGAUUGCGACUGCAUGUCUUGGUUUGUCGCCCUCUCUCUGUCAUCUGCAGAAUAACUACAGGGAGUGUCUGACCCAAGGAGAUAAACUCAGGGAUUUGAAAGGCCGUCGCUCAUCCAGGUCUGCCACCACGUCACGGUUGAAUUUGACAAAGACCAGUCAGACCUCUAUCACCCCUCCCAAGUGUUCCAGGCUAUCUCAGGUCCCUGUCCCCUUCUCCUCCUCCUCUUCUCCCAAGAGGCUGGUGCAAAGCUCCUCAUCAUCAGCUAGUAACCUUAAGAGUCCGUUUAGCCUGAGUAUGUUCAGCUCUAAGGCUACUACCAUUCACUGA